CUCAGGUCUGUGGUUGAAAGUCGAUGCCAGUUGCAGGCGAAGCGAUCCACGUAAGUAGCUUAAAUUAGCUAUGAGCACGGUGCAGUAUAGAAGUAAGUCCUGCCGCAGCGGUAAGAGAGUAUGAAUAAUAUUCCACCGUAUAAUUAAUGAUGACGGCGAGAGGAGUAGUAGUGGGGAGCGUAUGAUGCUUAGGAGCGAACCUUCCAGCAGGCGAGUGUGGGGGCGAAAACCAGGUCAGCUGAG
rnacentral:ncRNA from 1 species